rnacentral:rRNA from 1 species
ACGGAGGGUGAAAGCGUUAUUCGGAAUUACUGGGCGUAAAGCGCGUGUAGGCGGUCCUGCAAGUCUGACGUGAAAGCCCCGGGCUUAACCCGGGAAGUGCAUUGGAAACUGCAGGUCUUGAGUACUGGAGAGGAUGGGGGAAUUCCCGGUGUAGAGGUGAAAUGCGCAGAGAGCGGGAGGAAUAUCAGUGGCGAAGGCAGCCAUCAGGGCGGUAACUGACGCUGAGACGCGAAGGCGUGGGGAUCAAACAG